GAGAUUCUCUACAGAUGCAAAUCUCCCCAUGCAAAGAUGGCUUUGCAGGGCCAUUUCAAAACAUGUCCAAUAAAUAUAUUUUGGGACAUGAAGCCUAUUGACUGAAGAGGAGGCUGAUCCCCUUGAAGAAGGGCUAUACAAUACUACAACAUGCAUUUCCAGAAGGCGUUUACCAUUUCAUCACUCAGGGGCUCUAUAGCCAUUUACCAAUACUCUGUACCCUGGGGCUGGGUAUGCUCAGAUCUUGUGAGGAUUACUUUAUAAGAGGAAAAAUGGGAGUCUUUUACAGAUAUUUUAAGAUCAGAAAACAAAAAGAACUUCAGAAGAAGCCAAAUCAGGACUGUAAGGUGGAUGCUCAGCAAUUUCGCAUCAAAACUCUUGCAAAAUUGUCCUUGCUUGAUGAGAGAAAUGAAAAGGAGAAUUGCCACGGUGGAGAAGGACUCACUGGUGAGGCUUUCCUGGGUAUUUUUCUGCUAAAGCUUCAGCUAACUUUCUGAAAACACUCUCAUAAUAAGCAGAUGUUAUCAUUUUUUAGCCCUCCAGAGAGUAAACAAGCAAAAUGCCUUGAGCAUACCAAAAAACUGUUGCCAUGACCUUGCUCUUGACCAGUCCACUUUUGCUUUGACUAAACCACUUCCACCUCUUUGUAGCCAUUGCUUUGAUCGUGCUUUGUUUUCAGGAUCAUAUUGAUAAAACCAUGUUCCAUUUCCUGCUACAAUUCUUUGAAUAAAUGCUUCAGAAUCUUGAUCCUACUUACUUAAAAUUUCAUUGAAAACUCUGCUCUUGCCUGCAAUUGAUCUGGGUGCAAUGGUUUUGUCACCGAUCAAGUGUGAAAAGUUUGCUCCUUUAAAUUUUCAGUCACAAUUGUGUGAGCUGAAACAAUCGAGAUGUCUACAGUGUUGGAUAUUGUUUCUGCUGCUAAUCAUUGGUUCUGUUUAAUUAGGAGGCAAACAAGAUGAUUUUUUCCCUCAAAAUUGAUGUGGAUAGUCUGCCUCUGCAGGCUUCAUCUUCAACAUCAUCUCCUUUCUUCCUAAAACAAGAUACCCAUUUGUAAUCUGCUGAUUUCUUUGGGGCCUUGUCCUCAUAAACUUUUUGUAAAGGAUCAGUGAUAUCACCAUUCUUCCACCCAAGCUUCACCAUAAAUUUGGUGUUUGUUCUGGUUUCAAUAUUAGCAGAAUUCCUGUUGUUCUGAUAGGGUCUGUUUUCAAACUGAGGUCUUAUCCUUCUUAUUGCUUCAGACUAGAUCCUGUUCAAACAUGUUACAACAAGUUAGUACAAGUUUAUUUUGGUGCAGAAAAAUUGAAAUUUCUGCAUAGUUUUUUCAUAAUAUGCAUUUUCCAUGAACUUUUUUUUUUUUUUUUUUUUGAGACGGAGUCUCGCUCUGUCUCCCAGGCUGGAGUGCAGUGGCACGAUCUUGGCUCACUGCAAGCUCCGCCUCCCAUGUUCAUGCUGUUCUCCUGCCUCAGCCUCCCGAGUAGCUGGGACUACAGGCAUCCACCACCUCGCCUGGCUAAUUUUUUGUAUUUUUAGUAGAGGCGGGGUUUCACCAUGUUAGCCAGGAUGGUCUCGAUCUCCUGACCUCGUGAUCCACCCACCUCAGCCUCCCAAAGUGCUGGGAUUAUAGGCCUGAGCCACCGUGCGCGGCCUCCAUGAACUUUUUGAAGAUCACUCUUAUAUCUGAGCAUUUGUGUAACCCUAAAUCAAAUCCUUUCAUACUCUUUGAUGAUUUAUUUUUAGGCUAUGUCUCCCAUUUCCAAGAGCAAAUAUCUGCAAAGUGGUAAGAUCCUUGGUGGCUUUGAGUAAAUUAAAAGUAUGUGAGAUAGGAGAAAACCUUAGGAAGGCUGAGCAUCUGUAAAAGCAUCAAAAAAAGCCUUUCCUGGGCUGAAGGAUCAGAAAUCACCUGCUUCUGCCCCUUGAGUUUACACAUGAGGAAAACGAAAGUCAGGGAGAUUACGUGAUUUAUCCUAAAAGAUAUGAUUGAAUAAUGGCAGAGCCAGAGUUAGAAGCAAGGUUUCCUGACUUCUACUCUAGUGUUCUCUAUAUAAUACCUUCCUUUUUGAUUAUAAUGCAUUUGUAAAAAAAUCAAUGUGUCAAAUUUUAGGAUACAUAUAAAUAAUUAUUUUUCAGUAUGAUAUACAUCAUAAAGUAUGGAUUUACGUAAAUGACCCACCCAAUAUUUAUUUUAUAUAGUCAAACAUAAUUUUCAUUUUAUAAAAAUAUUUAUAUUUAUAAAAUAUUUACGUUUUUUAUAUUAUGUAUAAUUUAUUUUUGUAUAUUUAAAAUAUUUAUAAUUACAAAAUAACUUCAAAAGCUUUUUUAAAGAUGGUGCAAAUUAGUUUUGCCAAAGAAUAAGCUAGGUUGAGUAUUGGGAUUCACUCAGGAUAGUGGCAGAAAUAUUAGGGAAAAAUAUUAGUUAUGACAGCCACAAAAUCGUUUUGGAAGGCUGUUUUCACAUGACUUCGGUAAUGGACCCAUUACCUUUAGUUAAAUAGAUUAGAGUAGUAAACAAUGGGAGGUGAGGAAGUUACAUAGUUAAGCUUGUUUACUCAUAUGGUCUUAAGAUGAGCCUUUGAUGUGUGCUUUUUACUCGGGAAGUCCACAAUGUCAAUUACACUCAAGCUUUUGUUAACUAAUCUUAAUGAAUAAAUGCAAGCCUCCCGACCUGAUGGGGCAGGCAGCAGUGACAAGCCUCUCUUGGUGUGUAGGCAGUCGGACACUCAGCAAAACUGGCAAAACAGAAUAUCUGUGUGUCAGUGUACGUUUUAUUCAUCUGUCGUUUGGGUCAGGGUCUUGAAAUUUUUUGCUUCUUUGAUGUAACAGGUUAUUACAGACUAGGAAACCAUAUUGUCUUAAGAAAGCAAGGAAGAAAAAAUGUUUUUCAUCAGCUAUGGUUUGGCCACUAGACAAAGACUCACAUCCACAGCUUUAUGAAUAGGCAUUAUCUCCAAUACACAGUAUAACAAGCUCUCAGAGGUUAAGUAAUGGUCCCAAGGUAACGGAUCCAAAAAGUGGGGAACUGAUAUUUCACUGAAGAGAAAUUUGUGAAAGAAAGGAAAAUAUUACUGACCUCAUAGUUUUGUGCAGGUCUGACUCUUCCAUAUGACUCUGUUCAAAUUUAUCCUACCAUAAAUAAUUGUAUAAAUGAUAAGAACAAAAGGUAUGUGCAGUUAAUAAAUAACUGAUUGAUUGAUUGAGUCUGGUGUCUUUUCUUUCACCAACUUCCUUGUGACAGUAAGAAAGUCACUUAAACUUCCUCUGUCCUCAUAAGACCGAUUUUGGGUUCUUAUAUUUGAUUAGUGUAUGAGCUCAUAUAUGUCCUGAGA
rnacentral:lncRNA from 1 species